GCACCGUUGGCUCAGUUGGUAGAGCAGCGUCCUCUUAAGUCGAAGGUCCUCGGUUCGAGUCCGAGACGGUGUA
rnacentral:tRNA from 1 species